ensembl:lncRNA
GGAGAAUCUGAUGUGAGGGGGUAGACUGUUCCACAGUCUGGGUGCAGCCACAGCAAAAGCCCUCUCUCCCCUAGUCUUUAAUCUGUACCUGGGAACAUCUAAAAGCAUCAAGUCUGCUGACCUCAAAGAUCUCCUGGGGCAGUAAAUGCUAAGAAGCUCUGCCAGGUAAGGAGGUGCAGUACCGUUAAGAACCUUAAAAACCAGCAGUAAAAUUUUAAAAUCAAUCCUAAAAGCAACUGGGAGCCAGUGGAGAGAGCAGAGGACCGGAGUGACGUGGUCUCUCUUUUUGGAACCGGUCAGCAUGCGAGCAGCAGCGUUCUGCACCAGUUGGAGGCGAUGCAAACAGGAACGAUCUAAACCAGCAUAAAGGGAGUUACAAUAGUCCAGCCGUGAAGUAAUAAAAGCAUGGACCACCCUUUCUAGAUCGUUCCUGCACAGAUUCAGUCCCAGAUCACAUUGCCGAAAUCAAGCUUUAAGGUGCCCCAAAGUCAUAUAUCCUUUAUCGGGACAACUUAAAAUGGAGGCAGCUGUAGUUCAAACAUUUCCCUCAGUCUUCAUCUAUCAGAGGUGCAGCAGGUUCAGCUCCAGGUCUAGACUUAAGUAUACAUGCUGCCUGCCUCUACAGGUCUUUGUCAACUCUUGUACCUCUAUAAUGGCCUGUGCUUGACAAACACAGCACUGUAACUUUUACCUUUUCCUGAAACCCAGCAGGAAAACAACCGUAGAGCCUGUUUGCACUGCUUUGCACUCCAGCUAUAACACUAAUUCAGAUCAGCAGUGAUAGAAACUUCUUGUUAGCUGCUGACAGGCUGAAGAGACUCAGUAUUGUUGAGGCAGAAUAUUUUGGAAUCCCACUUGUUAAGAGCUGCUCCACUCUGUGGGGGUAAACAAGGAGUGCUGCCAUAUAUAGAGCAAUAGACAUCCCGUUGUGGACUCUCUUCAGCACUGCAUUGUAUCAAGAUGCUAAAAUUACAUGUGAUAAUAAAAUGAAAAGACCCCCUAAGAUUCUAGCAUCCUGUUAUUAUCGGUGAAUUUCUGCGGGUGUUUCGACAGAGUUCGUGUCUUAUCUCAUGCUGAUAAAGAGUUGUGUGUGCAUGAGUGUUUACAUACGUGACUGACGAGCACGUUAUUGCUGUAUUACUGCCUUUUUAUCUUUUGGG